GUGAGCAGCCAUAAAGUACAAAGAGAAUUUACCAAGAAGACCAAGAUGAAGAUAACCGGGACAGUUCUCCUAUGUGUCUGUUUGACCUUUAUGUUUUUGGGCAUAGAGGGCCAAGGCACCACAGAUGUCACAACUCCAGCAGUGACCAAUAACAGCACUACGAGUAAUAGCACUCAGCCUGCAGCGACCACACCUCAAUGGAACGCCACUGUUUCUUACACGACAAACACCACCCAUGCCCAAACUCCUAAAACCACAAGAAUACCAUCUGACACCACCUCCCACUCUACAGAUAAUGUCACUUCAUCACAGGGGUCCUCCGUGUCCCCUGGGGCUACUCAAAACCCUGGAACCCCAGCAUCCACCACACAGAAAUCCACAGGGACUACCAGCAAAAAUUUUACCACAAUCUCAUCUACAACGACAAAAGGAGGAUCUGCUCCUUUGUUUGGGUUCUGCAGUCAGCUGCUGGUGUUUGCUGUCACUAUUCUGAUCUGCUGUGCUUUGGAAUGAAUGUAUGAAAGUAUAGAAUCUGCAUUUAAAUCCUUAAAUGCUGUGGAAACAUAUUACAUUAUUAUUACAGCCUCGUAUUAAAUGGCUGCUUCUUUAAGGCUGUGAUGUGCUCUGUUUGCACUGAGUCUUUCUCUGCUUUUACACAAAUAUCCAUAAGUUAUGUAUGACACUGUGCUUCAAAUGUUAAUGCUAUGUUUCAUUCAUAAAUACUAAAAGGGAAUAAAGGAAACCAAUGUUUUUUGGCAAAUAAAGUAAAAUGGUGAUCUUUUGCGGAGGCUGAAGAGUUAAUUGUACUGAACACUUCAGCCAACCUCGGGUUUGUUUUAGCUGAAGGAAACGGCAGUGGUGCACCCACAGCUCCAUUUGCAUGUUGGCUUAACACUAAAAAAGCUAGGCAACAUCACAUUUGAAUUCAUGCUGUUUGUACAGUAGCAUCUUUGUUUCUCUCAUGCCAACAUGUAUUUAUGCAUCUUAUUAUACGUAUAUUAUUAUAUUAUUUGGGGAAAAAUUUAACUACCUCAACUAGAAACUAUACAGAUCAACAUCUAGCAAAAACAAACCAAAAUCUAACAAGACCAAGUCACAAAAUGUUCUGGUGGAGUAUUUGCAAAUUAAAAAUAAUAAUACCAUUUACAGUUUUAUAUAUAUGUAUAUAUAAUUAUGCUAAUACUAGUUCUAGUCGCACCAUAUAACUCAUAUAAGAUAUGAUAUUGAAAUUUUGCAUAAAGUAUAGAUUUUUAUGUCUGUAAGCCAAUCAAUAUCUCAACCUCCCAUUCAGCUUUUGAUAUAGCUGCAAUUGCCAUUUAUCCAUUUUAACAAUAAAGAUCCAUUUUCUUUAUGUCUUAAAACAACCUGUCCUUCACCCCGUACCCUUUCAUCCACCUUUCCUUUUUUCAUGCUAUUACCUCUUGGUCUGACCUGCUCCCUCCCCCCUCAAGUCAUGUUUCAUCAUCUUGUCCUCAUCAACCCCAUCUCCAUGACUCAUUCCUUGCACCCUUCACCUCUCCUUCACCAUAUACCCUUCAUUGUAUUGCAUUCCAUGUUUCUAUAACCUUUCCCAGAUUGUUGGCUAGGAGUAGGUCUCUCACAACACAGGAUGCAUGCCUUGUACUGCUCUGCUGAUGGAAAAGUUGUGAAGUGUUUGUAUAACUGCAAGCUUAAAGGAUGAAAAUACAUAAGCAAAAAUCUUGGUCUAUAACUGGUUAAUGACAUCUGUUGCCUCGUUGGACAAUUCCUCUUUGAUCUGGAAUAAAGAAUAAAUCCAG